rnacentral:rRNA from 1 species
AUUGAACGCUAGCGGGAUGCUUUACACAUGCAAGUCGAGCGAGCGGCGGACGGGUGUGUAAUGUAUGGGGACUGCCCGUUAGAGGGGGAUAACUACUGGAAACGGUAGCUAAUAUCGCACAUUAUCUCAUUACCCACAUGGGAUUAGCUAGUAGGUGGGGUAACGGCUCACCUAGGCGACGAUCCCUAGCUGGUCUGAGAGGAUGAUCAGCCAGACUGGGACGGAGACACGGCCCAGAGUCCGACGGAGGCAGCAGUGGGGAAUAUUGCACAAUGGGCGCAAGCCUGAUGCAGCCAUGCCGCGUGUAUGAAGAAGGCCCUAGGGUUGUAAAGUACUUUCAGUCGGGAGGCGUUACCGACAGAAGAAGCACCGGCUAACUACGUGCCAGCAGCCGCGGUAAUUC